rnacentral:rRNA from 2 species
ACUUAAGCAUAUCAAUAAGCGGAGGAAAAGAAACCAACAGGGAUUGCCCCAGUAACGGCGAGUGAAGCGGCAACAGCUCAAAUUUGAAAUCUGGCCCCUCGGGGUCCGAGUUGUAAUUUGUAGAGGAUGCUUUUGAUGAGGCGCCGCCUGAGUUCCCUGGAACGGGACGCCAUAGAGGGUGAGAGCCCCGUCUGGCUGGCCGCCGAGUCUCUGUAAAGCUCCUUCGACGAGUCGAGUAGUUUGGGAAUGCUGCUCAAAAUGGGAGGUAUAUGUCUUCUAAAGCUAAAUACCGGCCAGAGACCGAUAGCGCACAAGUAGAGUGAUCGAAAGAUGAAAAGCACUUUGAAAAGAGGGUUAAAUAGUACGUGAAAUUGUUGAAAGGGAAGCACUUGUGACCAGACUUGGGCUUGGCGAAUCAUCCGGCGUUCUCGCCGGUGCACUUUGCCUCGUCCAGGCCAGCAUCAGUUCGCCGCGGGGGAUAAAGGCUUCGGGAACGUGGCUCCUCCGGGAGUGUUAUAGCCCGUUGCGUAAUACCCUGCAGUGGACUGAGGUUCGCGCAUCUGCAAGGAUGCUGGCGUAAUGGUCAUCAGUGACCCGUCUUGAAACACGGACCAAGGAGUCGUCUUCGUAUGCGAGUGUUCGGGUGUCAAACCCCUACGCGUAAUGAAAGUGAACGCAGGUGAGAGCUUCGGCGCAUCAUCGACCGAUCCUGAUGUUCUCGGAUGGAUUUGAGUAAGAGCAUACGGGGCCGGACCCGAAAGAAGGUGAACUAUGCCUGUAUAGGGUGAAGCCAGAGGAAACUCUGGUGGAGGCUCGCAGCGGUUCUGACGUGCAAAUCGAUCGUCAAAUAUGGGCAUGGGGGCGAAAGACUAAUCGAACCUUCUAGUAGCUGGUUUCCGCCGAAGUU